rnacentral:rRNA from 1 species
UACGUAUGGUGCGAGCGUUGUCCGGAAUUAUUGGGCGUAAAGAGCUCGUAGGCGGUCUGUCGCGUCGGUCGUGAAAACUUGGGGCUUAACCCUGAGCUUGCGGUCGAUACGGGCAUGACUGGAGUUCGGCAGGGGAGACUGGAAUUCCUGGUGUAGCGGUGAAAUGCGCAGAUAUCAGGAGGAACACCGAUGGCGAAGGCAGGUCUCUGGGCAUUAACUGACGCUGAGGAGCGAAAGCAUGGGGAGCGAACAGG